rnacentral:tRNA from 2 species
AUUUAUAUAGUUUAAAUAAAACAUUACAUUUUCAUUGUAAAAAUAAAUAUCUUUAUUUUAUAAAUU